rnacentral:rRNA from 1 species
ACCCGCUGAACUUAAGCAUAUCAAUAAGCGGAGGAAAAGAAACCAACAGGGAUUGCCCUAGUAACGGCGAGUGAAGCGGCAACAGCUCAAAUUUGAAAUCUGGCGUCUUUGGCGUCCGAGUUGUAAUUUGUAGAGGAUGCUUUUGGGUUGCCACCGGUCUAAGUUCCUUGGAACAGGACGUCAUAGAGGGUGAGAAUCCCGUAUGUGACCGGCUUAGGCACCCUUUGUAAAGCUCCUUCGACGAGUCGAGUUGUUUGGGAAUGCAGCUCUAAAUGGGAGGUAAAUUUCUUCUAAAGCUAAAUACCGGCCAGAGACCGAUAGCGCACAAGUAGAGUGAUCGAAAGAUGAAAAGCACUUUGGAAAGAGAGUUAAAAAGCACGUGAAAUUGUUGAAAGGGAAGCGCUUGCAAUCAGACUUGCCCGCGGUUGUUCAGCCGGUCUUCUGACCGGUUUACUCUUCCGUGGGCAGGCCAGCAUCAGUUUCGGCGGCCGGAUAAAGGCCUUGGGAAUGUAGCACCCCCUCGGGGGUGUGUUAUAGCCCAGGGUGUAAUACGGCCUGCUGGGACUGAGGUCCGCGCUUCGGCUAGGAUGCUGGCGUAAUGGUUGU